rnacentral:rRNA from 1 species
UGCGUAGGCGGUCGGGUAAGUCUGGUGUGAAAUCUCAGAGCUCAACUCUGAAACUGCAUUGGAUACUAUUCGGCUUGAGGUCUGGAGGGGGGACUGGAAUUCUCGGUGUAGCAGUGAAAUGCGUAGAUAUCGAGAGGAACACCAGUGGCGAAGGCGAGUCCCUGGACAGGUCCUGACGCUGAGGCACGAAAGCUAGGGGAGCAAACA